CCCUGAAUCCAAGCCACAAAGAUUUGAGAGAAAUACCAGUGUUUCAAGAUUGACCUUGGUAAACCAUUUAAAAGACAUUUUAGGAAAUCUACAGAUGUUGAUGAUAUUUUUGAUAAAAAUUGGUCAGACAUGUUAUGUCACACCUCCAGGACAGAUGAGACCUGAACCUGGAUCUUCCAGUCCAGAGACAGUAGGAACGUAUUACCAAAACUAAGAAGCUGCUAAAGCUUUGUAAAACAUUGGUAAGGCCAUAACCAGAAUAUUAUGUUCAAUCCUGGACACCAUACUUCGGGAAGGUUAUCAAAGCCUAAGGAAGGAUACAGUUACAGUGGAAAGGACUUCAACUAUUUGGAGACCACAGUAACUCGUUAAA